GCUUUCGGCCACACCUCCCUGAGCACACCCGAUCUCGUCUGAUCUCGGAAGCUAAGCAGGGUCGGGCCCGGUUAGUACUUGGAUGGGAGACCGCCUGGGAAUACCAGGUGCUGUAAGCC
ensembl:rRNA 5S_rRNA 5S ribosomal RNA